CAUUCAAGUUGUGAAGUUGUGCUUCUGUACUAAAUGACAAGAGGAGUUGCCAGGCUGGUUCUUCCCACCCUGUACUCCACUUUAAGACUCAACCUGAAACCACUUUGCUUUGGCUUCUUGAAAGCUGUAGAAAGCAGAGUGGAAGUUGUUUGGUGCUGGACGGAGACAUCUCACAUGUAGCCAGGACUUGUGCUUCGUUUGGGGCUGCAUCUGCAGUGAGGACCAGCAUGUGGAAGGAGUUCAGCUGCCAGAGCACAAUGUGCAGCGAUCACGCACGGAGCAGGGUGUCUGCUGCGUGCUCCCAGCACUGGUGGCAGGAGAACCACUUGCUCUUCAUCACCCCCUUUUGUAGGAGUCAGCCCACGUGGCGGCCAGGCUUGUCCAGAAGCGUCACCUGUGACAAGGAGCAGCUCCUCUUCCAGGUAGGAGAUCAGGGCUGUGCCUCUGCAGAGGGACACAGUGUGUAGCACGUGUGGGUUAACUUCAGCAGUGAGCUGCUGCAUCACUGGGAUGAGAACAACCAUCCUACCAUGAGAAAGGC